UCCUACAACAUUGUGACAUCACAGAUCACUGAGCUAAUCACCAUCCUUACUCUAGAGCUAAUUUGCAUACACCAAUUUCAUUGUUGAUAGGGAGACUUCCACUUGCACAAAUCAACACAACCAGCAUGCACAAUCAUCACACCUAUAUACAGCCCCUCAAACAUGGGAAAACCACCACAAAUCUUGCAGAAGUUUUACUCCGUGCAUCAUUUGGAAACUUGGUGAGCCAGUGCGACGUAACAAAAAGAGCUAGAAGCACGGGAGAGAACUAUUUGUUCAGACUGUUACCAGGUUCAGUUAUCACUGGGACUGGCCAUCUGUUAUCUUCCCGGUUUUAAACUCUCAGUCAUUUGUUUGGCUUUUCACGUUUUACGAAUUAGGCCUGUACAACAGCAUGGCCUUUCGCCUAGAUACAUCGUAAGCAGGGACACGGGCUUUAUUUGGUUGCUAGGCACUCUGGGGACACAAAUCAUACUAAACACCACCAGGAAAGAGAAGACGACCAACAACAAGAGUCCUCGCUGCUGUCUGCACAAAACCCAUUUGUAAUCAGACUCACAGGUACAACAAAGGGUGGGGAUGCCGUCGGAGCUAAGACAGAAGGUAUUAAAUACAGAAGAGGACACACAAAACAAAAACAAAAGUUCAGAUGACAAUAAGGAGCUAGUUCGGGUUCCUUGGAAUGUCUCAUGCUGACAAAUUGCGCCCGGCAGCUCGAAAGCAGUUACCACUAAAUAAUUGAGGGUGUCAUGUCAACGCCAACGUUUUAAAUCUGAUUUUCAGAAACUCCUGAUAAUUGCUAAAGAGCAGGGUCUGUCUAGAAAAGAGCCAAUGAGUCCUGAAUGGAGUCUGAAAAUGCAGCAAAGGAUGAAAAAUAAAGCGGGGAGAGGGAAGCGGACAAAGGAACAAUCUUCACAUGCGUUUGGUUAAGAAAAAAGGGGAGGGGGGACUUCUUUCCUGCACUGAUGGCGAAGGGAGGCUGCCUUUGAAAGCAGCCGCUGCUGCUCAUUUGUCUGCUUCAUAAAAACCUUUUUUCCGUUCACUUGUCGACAAGAGGAACGGCUUAUCUGCGAGAUGCUCCAUGCCACAGGUGGGGAGAGGGGAACGCUCAGGCACUGUCAGCAGGGCUUAAGCACAGCCAGCAGGUGGGAAGAGCUACUCUAGGUCCCUCUAGCAACUACCCCUGUGAAGUAUGCUGUUAUUCCUAUUGUCUGGGUGGGAAACUGAGGCACGAAGCAACUCAGUGUCCAUCCCAAGGGCAUACAGGAUGUCUCGAAUGGCGCAGGCAGUUGAACUGGGUUAGCGCCCUAACCACUUGACCCUCCUUCCUUUUAGCCGGCAGAAGUCAAGCAAGCGCCCGGGAUAUCCGGUCUAUCCAGAAAAGGCUGCCACUCCAUUUGCAUGCCGGUUUCGUCAGUGCCACCAAUGGAAUCCCACGGGGUAGCGCUGAUGACCGCUUUUUGCACUGGCUGCUGGGCUGUCACGGUGAAGUUCCAAGCAACUGUGGUGGGCAGCACCGUGACAAAAGGGAAUGCCCAGGUGGCCCAAGGUGUGUUACAGCAGGAAGCACCUGGCUCUUGCUCCAUAUACAGCACCUGUCACCCUGAAGGAUUACAACAGGAAGUGAUGUGCUCCACUCCAGAGGCAUCUGCCUCUCAGUGGUGAAGCCAUGCCUGUGCAAAAUAUGCCCAGAAGUGGAGGUAACGGUCAGAAGAGGGCUUGUCUGCAGACAGACAAGAGUGUAGCUUCCUUUCUGCUCCUGAUUUAUGAAGAGCUUUGAUACCACUGUAUAGAGUUAGGUAAACAUAUCACUGGCUGGGCCAAGCUGCAUACAUCUCCCCUGCUAUGGGAUAUGUAUCUCCUUCCCUUCCCAUGAACGAUCUGUACCUGAGCAUUCACCUCCCACAGGAUACGUGCUCUGUUAGCUUAUCCAGCUCUUUCCAAAGCAUGAACUAAAUCCAAGGUAGCUGGAGCCUUGAGCUGUCAAAUCAGUCCAGGGACAGUCCCUCUGUCAAUGCAGGACAUGCACAAUUUGUCCUGGGGAUGCUAGCGGGACAAAUGGUAAUGGAGCAGUGCCAGAUGCAGUCUGCAUGAGCCCGGCUGAGGAUCUAAAUGCCACCCAUGCACAGAACUCAGUGACCCUUCUGAGCAGGGCUGUGCAUCCCGUUAGCAUCUAAGAGCAUGAGAAAUUCACAGAAAAGGCCCUAGCUAUUGGCACAGACCAUCGAUUAGCAGUCGAAUCAGAGUGCUUAGGGAAUGGGGAGGGAAGGAAGAUCCCCUCCAUUUUCCAGCAUGAGACUCCUGCCUCAGAGUCUGCACUGGGUCUCUUAAAAGUCCACCCACUAACACCACAAGCUGAGGGAGAGAGAAGAGAGGAGAACAGAACAAGGCUCCGGGGGAAUCUGGCACCACUGCUUCUGCUCCCGGCUGAAGAAUGCCAGUGCGAAUUAGUGGAGGGGAGGGGUAAUUAUUUCUAUUCAAAGGCAGAGCUGUAGAGCAAAAUUUGGGACUUGCAGUGAUGGAGUUGGGCCACUUUUUUAAAAAAAGUGUUCCCAUCUUUACAGCAACUUAGGUGCAAGCCUGGGAUGGGGCUUUUAAUCCAGGUAUCAAGUCUGGCUUUCAAACCUCUGGACUUAAAUUUCACAGGGGCUGGGAUUUGGCAUUUCAGAUGAACCUCAUAUAGACACGGAACUUCUUAACUUAGACAUUCUGAUUUAGUUUGACAACCAGAUUCUGGGAGUGGCAUUCGGACCCAGGACUUCCCUUUCUAGGUCAUCUGUAUCGAACCAGGGUACAAAUGUGCAAAAGGACAUGAACACUUCCAUGAGAACGUGAGUUACGAGGGUGUGCAACAUUAGUGUACACACUUGGGAGUGUUUCCAAACAUUACUCUGUAUGUUUGCAACUUUAACUUGGGCAAAUCAUGCACGUGCAUGGAUCACUUAUUUCUCCCUAUAUAUAUAGUAAAACUCUAAUAGUCCAGCAUCCAAUCGUAAAGCACUCCCAAUAGUCCAGCAUCAAAAUGGCAAGAACCUAGUGAGCGAGCUUCGGAAAAAAACGAGUCACAAAACAGCAGCGGCAUCAACUGA